CUAUCGACUUUUGGUCAAAAUAAAAUUUUAAUCGUUAAGUCAAAGUACGGCAACGCACUUCCUCAAAUGUCUGACGUUGUAUACGCGUAAUUUACGUUUGUUUGUAUUAUUUGAAGAUAGUUUAUAUAACAUUCGAAAAAAAUAUACAAACAAUUUUAUAUAUGAUCAGAGAAAAUUAAUAUGUAGUAAAAAACAAGAAGCUAAGAAUCAGGAUAAUUCGUAGAAAUAGUUCCAUGAAAUACGUGGGACUACUUUUUUCACGUUCUUCUCUUCAUUAUAACAACCACGUCAGUCAAAUUCGUCUCGUUCAAUAUUUUUAUUAUUGCAAGUAUAUACAUCUAUGAUAUGUCUAUUAUACACGUAUAUAUUUCUCAUAUAUAUUUUUGAAAAUUUGCAUUUUUUUGUUCCAUUAAAAUUCCUUAUUGUAAAUUUUUAAUUGAUGAUUAUUUUUAAUAUUUGUAUAACUUUAAGAAAAAACGAUACAGUAACGUACAUAGAAUUUCGAUUUCGAGGUGCUUAGGGUUUAUUAAAUCAUUGUAUUCAUUGAUUUGUGUAGUGCAAUAAAAUUGUUUUAUAUUCAUUUCAAAACUGUGCGUAUGUAUUCCUAAAAAAUUAAAUUUAAACAAAUCUUUUAAAGUUAGAUAACAAAAAUUAUUUUGUUUACUCCUUACAGUAUUAUAAGUUAGAUUACAGAAACAUGAACUCCUUUUCAUUACUAAAAUUUGGAGCAAUUUGUCAGACGGUACAUUCAAUUGUACCAAGACUUUCAAACUUAUUGUCAGGAAGCAAUCCGGGGGUAAUUGUAAGGAAUAUGCAUCAUCUAUGUGAAAGAAAAAAUGUCAAUUUGACACCGCAUAUACUGGCAAAUAACAAUAAAUCAUUACUUUCGCAACCUACUUUACCUAUAAUUAAUUUAGUAUCGGGUUUAAAAAUAAAAGGACGACUGCAGCUUCGUUGUGAGCAUUGCUAUUUUGUUGCAAGACGUGAAAGAUG